AGUAAAAGUCGUAACAAGGUUUCCGUAGGUGAACCUGCGGAAGGAUCAUUAACGAGUUUUGAAAGGGGUUGUAGCUGGCUUCAAACGAGGCAAUGUGCACACCCUGCUCAUCCACUCUCAACCUCUGUGCACCUAUUGUAGGUCGGUCGAUGGCUCGGUGGGCAACCACUGGGUUUGAAGCCUUCCUAUGUUUUACUACAAACGCUUCAGUUAUAGAAUGUUACACUGCGUAUAACGCAUUUAUAUACAACUUUCAGCAACGGAUCUCUUGGCUCUCGCAUCGAUGAAGAACGCAGCGAAAUGCGAUAAGUAAUGUGAAUUGCAGAAUUCAGUGAAUCAUCGAAUCUUUGAACGCACCUUGCGCUCCCUGGUAUUCCGGGGAGCACGCCCGUUUGAGUGUCAUGGUAUUCUCAACCUCAACAGCUUGCUGUUGAAGGCUUGGACUUGGAGGUUUGUGCUGGCUCUCGUUAGUCGGCUCCUCUUAAAUGCAUUAGCGUGAACGUGCUACGGAUCGCUAUCAGUGUGAUAAUUAUCUGCGCUAUUAGUGUUGAGGUACAGUAAGCUCGCGCUUCUAACCGUCCUUCAGUUGGACACAUCUACUUUUGACAUCUGACCUCAAAUCGGGCGGGACUACCCGCUGAACUUAAGCAUAUCAAUAAGCGGAGGAAAAGAAACUAACAAAGAUUCCCCUAGUAACUGCGAGUGAAGCGGGAAAAGCUCAAAUU
rnacentral:rRNA from 1 species